rnacentral:rRNA from 1 species
UCAAGCGUUUAAGGGCGUGUAGUGGAUGCCUUGGCACUGAAAGCCGAUGAAGGACGUGAUAUACUGCGAUAAGUUUCGGGGAGCUGUAUGUAAGUUUUGAUCCGAAAAUUUCCGAAUGGGGAAACCCACCACUUUAUGUGGUACUUUAAACUGAAUACAUAGGUUUAAAGAGACAACCUGGAGAACUGAAACAUCUAAGUAACCAGAGGAAAAGAAAUCAAUUGAGAUUCCGUUAGUAGUGGCGAGCGAACGCGGACUAGGCCAGUAGUUUUGUUAAAAAAAUUUGAAUAGUUUGGAAAUGCUAACCAUAGAGGGUGAUAGUCCCGUAUGAGUAAUGUUUAACAAAAUUCUUGAGUAAAGCGGGACACGUGAAAUCCUGCUCGAAUAUAGGGGGACCACCCUCUAAGCCUAAAUACUCUUCAGUGACCGAUAGUGAACUAGUACCGUGAGGGAAAGGUGAAAAGAACCCCUAUUAGGGGAGUGAAAUAGAACCUGAAACUGCAUGCCUACAAUCAGUCGAAGCUCUUUUUAGAGUGACGGCGUACCUUUUGUAUAAUGGGUCAGUGACUUAAUUUAUUAAGCAAGCUUAAGCCAUCUAGGUGUAGGCGCAGCGAAAGCAAGUCUUAAUAGGGCGAUUAGUUUAAUGAAUUAGACCCGAAAACGAAUGAGCUUACCAUGAGCAGGUUGAAAGCAAGGUAACACUUGCCGGAGGACCGAACCAGUUGACGUUGAAAAGUCUUUGGAUGACUUGUGGUAAGGGGUGAAAGGCCAACCAAAUUCGUAGAUAGCUGGUUUUCCGCGAAAACUAUUUAGGUAGUGCGUUGAAUAAAUAGAUGUUUAGAGGUAGAGCACUAAAUGGGCUAGGGGGAAGAGAUUCUUACCAAACCUAAUAAAACUCCGAAUGCUAAACAUUGUUCUUCAGCAGACAGACUGUGGGUGCUAAGGUCCAUGGUCGAGAGGGAAAGAGCCCAGACCACCAGAUAAGGUCCCCAAAUUAUGAUUAAGUGUGAAAGGAUGUGGAAAUUCCUUAACAGCCGGGAGGUUGGUUUAGAAGCAGCCAUCCUUUAAAGAUAGCGUAACAGCUCACCGGUCUAAUAGAGUUUCUGCGCCGAAGAUGUAACGGGGCUAAAAUCAUAUACCGAAUCUGUGGGUUUAUAAAAUUUUCGAAUUUUAUAAGCGGUAGCGGAACGUUCUGUAAGCCUGUGAAGGGAUACCCGUGAGGGAUCCUGGAGGUAUCAGAAGUGCGAAUGCUGACAUAAGUAACGAUAAAAGAAGUGAAAAACUUCUUCGCCGAAAAUCCAAGGGUUUCUGCGCAAGGUUAAUCCGCGCAGAGUUAGUCGGCACCUAAGGCGAGGGCGAAAGCCGUAGUCGAUGGAAAUAAGGUUAAUAUUCCUUAACCAGAUGGUAGUGACGGAUCUUGUAAGUUGUGUACUCUUAAUGGAUUGAGUAUGCCGCGAAAAGGUUCCAAGAAAUAGCUCCAUCAUUAGACCGUACCCUAAACCGACACAGGUGGAUUAAUAGAGUAUAUUUAGGCGCUUGAGAGAAUGAUGUUGAAGGAACUCGGCAAAAUGCUUCCGUAACUUCGGGAUAAGGAAGACCUGUUUUUAGGCAACUAGAGAUGGGUGGCACAAGCCAGGGAGAAGCGACUGUUUAUCAAAAACACAGGGCUCUGCUAACACGUAAGUGGAUGUAUAGGGUCUGACGCCUGCCCGGUGCUGGAAGGUUAAUGCGGUUGGUGCAAGCUAACUUCUGAAGCCCCAGUAAACGGCGGCCGUAACUAUAACGGUCCUAAGGUAGCGAAAUUCCUUGUCGGGU